GACGAACGCUGGCGGCGUGCCUAAUACAUGCAAGUUGAGCGCUGAAGGUUGGUACUUGUACCGACUGGAUGAGCAGCGAACGGGUGAGUAACGCGUGGGGAAUCUGCCUUUGAGCGGGGGACAACAUUUGGAAACGAAUGCUAAUACCGCAUAAAAACUUUAAACACAAGUUUUAAGUUUGAAAGAUGCAAUUGCAUCACUCAAAGAUGAUCCCGCGUUGUAUUAGCUAGUUGGUGAGGUAAAGGCUCACCAAGGCGAUGAUACAUAGCCGACCUGAGAGGGUGAUCGGCCACAUUGGGACUGAGACACGGCCCAAACUCCUACGGGAGGCAGCAGUAGGGAAUUUUCGUCAAUGGGGGGAACCCUGAACGAGCAAUGCCGCGUGAGUGAAGAAGGUCUUCGGAUCGUAAAGCUCUGUUGUAAGAGAAAAACGACAUUCAUAGGGAAUGAUGAGUGAGUGAUGGUAUCUUACCAGAAAGUCACGG
rnacentral:rRNA from 1 species